AUUGAACGCUGGCGGCAGGCUUAACACAUGCAAGUCGAGCGGAGAUGAGGUGCUUGCACCUUAUCUUAGCGGCGGACGGGUGAGUAAUGCUUAGGAAUCUGCCUAUUAGUGGGGGACAACAUUCCGAAAGGAAUGCUAAUACCGCAUACGUCCUACGGGAGAAAGCAGGGGAUCUUCGGACCUUGCGCUAAUAGAUGAGCCUAAGUCGGAUUAGCUAGUUGGUGGGGUAAAGGCCUACCAAGGCGACGAUCUGUAGCGGGUCGGAGAGGAUGAUCCGCCACACUGGGACUGAGACACGGCCUAGACUCCUACGGGAGGCAGCAGUGGGGAAUAUUGGACAAUGGGGGGAACCCUGAUCCAGCCAUGCCGCGUGUGUGAAGAAGGCCUUAUGGUUGUAAAGCACUUUAAGCGAGGAGGAGGCUACUGAGACUAAUACUCUUGGAUAGUGGACGUUACUCGCAGAAUAAGCACCGGCUAACUCUGUGCCAGCAGCCGCAGUAA
rnacentral:rRNA from 1 species